rnacentral:rRNA from 1 species
UACGUAGGGUGCGAGCGUUGUCCGGAAUUAUUGGGCGUAAAGGGCGCGUAGGCGGCCUGUUAAGUCGAACGUGAAAUCCCCGGGCUCAACCCGGGAACUGCGUCCGAUACUGGCAGGCUUGAAUUCGGGAGAGGGAUGCGGAAUUCCAGGUGUAGCGGUGAAAUGCGUAGAUAUCUGGAGGAACACCGGUGGCGAAGGCGGCAUCCUGGACCGAGAUUGACGCUGAGGCGCGAAAGCCAGGGGAGCAAACGGG